rnacentral:rRNA from 1 species
AUUGAACGCUGGCGGCAGGCCUAACACAUGCAAGUCGAGCGGAUGAGUGGAGCUUGCUCCAUGAUUCAGCGGCGGACGGGUGAGUAAUGCCUAGGAAUCUGCCUGGUAGUGGGGGACAACGUUUCGAAAGGAACGCUAAUACCGCAUACGUCCUACGGGAGAAAGCAGGGGACCUUCGGGCCUUGCGCUAUCAGAUGAGCCUAGGUCGGAUUAGCUAGUAGGUGAGGUAAUGGCUCACCUAGGCGACGAUCCGUAACUGGUCUGAGAGGAUGAUCAGUCACACUGGAACUGAGACACGGUCCAGACUCCUACGGAGGCAGCAGUGGGGAAUAGUU